AGGCUUCUGCAGUGGCAGCAUCAUAGCCGAUGAGGUUUAUCUGAGGAGUGGUUAUCGCUAAUUGAAAAUUUUCCCAAUAUCCCGCCGUGAUGGCUUGAAAUAUAGUUGGCAUUGGUAAUUUUUGACACUCUCUACGGAGA